rnacentral:other from 1 species
AUUACCCUGCUGUGCUUGUGAUGCCGCAAUACCGGUUUUGUACCAACAGUUACUCUUAGGGUCUUGAUCUCCAAUAUAGCAAUGACGCGAUAGGCCCGAGCCAAGGCGGAAUUGCUGGGUAAGGACCCACCCUGUGAAAACAGGUUCAAAACUGCGCUGCACACGGCAUGGCGGGGGCUUU